rnacentral:rRNA from 1 species
GAAAAGAAACCAACAGGGAUUGCCCUAGUAACGGCGAGCGAAGCGGCAACAGCUCAAAUUUGAAAUCUGGCUAUUUUGUAGUCCGAGUUGUAAUUUGUAGAGGAUGCUUUUGGUGAGGUGCCUUCCGAGUUCCCUGGAACGGGACGCCAGAGAGGGUGAGAGCCCCGUACGGUUGGAUACCAAACCUUUGUAUAGCUCCUUCGACGAGUCGAGUAGUUUGGGAAUGCUGCUCUAAAUGGGAGGUAUAUCUCUUCUAAAGCUAAAUAUAGGCUAGAGACCGAUAGCGCACAAGUAGAGUGAUCGAAAGAUGAAAAGCACUUUGAAAAGAGAGUUAAACAGCACGUGAAAUUGUUGAAAGGGAAGCGCCUAUGACCAGACUUGUUUCUUUCAGUUUUGUUAGUUUUCGGACUGAUUUACUCUGUUAGUACAGGCCAGCAUCAGUUUGUUGUCAGGGAGAAAGGCUUAGGGAAUGUGGCUCUUUCGGGAGUGUUAUAGCCCUUUGCAUAAUACCUUUCGGCAGACUGAGGACCGCGCUUCGGCAAGGAUGCUGGCGUAAUGGUCAUCAGCGACCCGUCUUGAAACACGGACCAAGGAGUCAACCUUAUGUGCGAGUGUUUGGGUGUAAAACCCCAGCGCGUAAUGAACGUGAACGUAGGUGAGAGCUUCGGCGCAUCAUCGACCGAUUCUGAUGUUCUCGGAUGGAUUUGAGUAAGAGCACACAGGGUUGGACCCGAAAGAAGGUGAACUAUGCUUGUAUAGGGUGAAGCCAGAGGAAACUCUGGUGGAGGCUCGCAGCGGUUCUGACGUGCAAAUCGAUCGUCAAAUAUGAGCAUGGGGGCGAAAGACUAAUCGACCUUCUAG